CGCGUAGGCGGGUGGUUAAGUCAGGGGUGAAAUCCUCCAGCUCAACUGGAGAACAGCUUUUGAUACUGGCCAUCUUGAGGGGGGUAGGGGCAUGUGGAACUUCCGGUGGAGCGGUGAAAUGCGUAGAUAUCGGAAGGAACGCCGGUGGCGAAAGCGACGUGCUGGACCCUUUCUGACGCUGAGGCGCGAAAGCCAGGGGAGCAAACGGGAUUAGAUACCCCGGUAGUCCUGGCCCUAAACGAUGGGUACUAGAUUGUGGACUAAACAUGGGUUCACAGUCGAAGCAAAAGUGUUAAGUACCCCGCCUGGGGAGUAUGGUCGCAAGGCUGAA
rnacentral:rRNA from 1 species